rnacentral:rRNA from 1 species
UACAGAGGUGGCAAGCGUUGUUCGGAAUUACUGGGCGUAAAGGGCGCGUAGGCGGUCUUAUAAGUCUCGUGUGAAAUCCCUCGGCUUAACUGAGGAACUGCACGGGAUACUGCAAGACUUGAGAUCGGGAGAGGGAAGCGGAAUUCCGGGUGUAGCGGUGAAAUGCGUAGAUAUCCGGAGGAACACCGGUGGCGAAGGCGGCAUCCUGGACCGGUAUUGACGCUGAGGCGCGAAAGCCAGGGGAGCAAACGGG